GACGAACGCUGGCGGCGUGCUUAACACAUGCAAGUCGAACGGUAAGGCCCUUCGGGGUACACGAGUGGCGAACGGGUGAGUAACACGUGGGUGAUCUGCCCUGCACUUCGGGAUAAGCCUGGGAAACUGGGUCUAAUACCGGAUAGGACCACUGCCUGCAUGGGUGGUGGUGGAAAGCUUUUGCGGUGUGGGAUGGGCCCGCGGCCUUUCAGCUUGUUGGUGGGGUGAUGGCCUACCAAGGCCACGACGGGUAGCCGGCCCGGGAGGGGGACCGGCCAGGCUGGGACUGUGAUACGGACCAGACUCCUACGGGGGGCAGAAGUGGGGAAUAUUGCACAAUGGGCGCAAGCCUGAUGCAUCGACGCCGCGUGAGGGAUGACGGCCUUCGGGUUGUAAACCUCUUUCAGCACCGACGAAGCGCAAGUGACGGUAGGUGCAGAAGAAGGACCGGCCAACUACGUGCCAGCCGCCGCAGUAA
rnacentral:rRNA from 1 species